GAUCCUCUCUUCCUUGCCCGGCUCCUGAAGCCUGGCCUGUUGGUCCCGCCGAGGCUGCCAGUGGCACCCCAAGGCACUCUGGGCAGAGGUUCCACUGCUCGCAGCCCAGCAGGCAAACGCUAGAACUCGCUAGCUCCUUUAUCGUUUCAAGAUGCGAAUGAAGCGUCCUCCUGUGGGGCUUGGGAGAUGGCUUCCAUGGCAACUGCCACAGAGGUGACAGGUCCGAGAAGCGUGGGAGAAUUCGCUUCCUGAGGUUAAACCAAGGACAGCUAGAAGACCGGAGGAAGUGAAAGAUCCAUCUCCCCUCCCCCGCCCUCGGAGCGCUUGUUCCGAGGAUGGUUCUUUGUACUGCCUGUGCUGUUAACAUGCUGACUUGUUUUUCUAUCCCAUCCUUUCCUGUCUUCAGUUUGUCUUUCUUCCCCUUUGGCACCUUGAAUUUGCGUAUCACCAAAAUUGUUAGCAUGCAAUCUCUGUAUGGGGUUCUCUUUUCUAGGAGACAUGACUGACUUACGAUGUUCAUCAUUCAGAGGUAACUGAUGGAUUUGAGAUUUUCUUUUCCUAUUUGAUUCAUCUUAAAUUGGCUUCUGCAGAGGAUGUGAGGAUUUGGAUUUUCUAAUGCAGGGAGACCAGUAUUGAGUAAGAUCUGUGCCUAUGGAAGUAUAUGCUAGUGGAAUCACAUGAUCCUAGGGUUGGAAGUUGCCUUGCUGGUGCAUGAUCAUCUACCUCAAUCCAAAGGAUUUGAGCAUUACUCUCCAACUACAAAAGACCUCCGAACUGAGAAGGAAUGAAUCUCUGACCCAUUUGUGAAUAAGCCAGGGUUUUCCACAGUGACGGCAGCCAAAACGAGAUUAUGGAUCAGUCUAAACAUAAGCAGCACACUUCGGGUGUCACUGUCCUUCAUCACCCUCAGAUGGGAUCAUUGAGUAGCAGGAAAUCAAGCUCGAGACUCCCACUGAUUCUGCAUUGUGUGAGGUGUGCAGUUAUUUCAUAAUCUAUUACAACAUAAUAAAAAUACAAAUAAAGCCUACAAUAAAUAUAAUGUACUUGAAUCAUUCUCCAUUAAUGGAAAAGUUGUCUUCCAUGAAACCAGUCCCUGGUGCCAAAAAAUUUGAAGAUUUCUGGCCUAAAAUAUAAUCUACCCUGGAGAAUGUUCCAUGUGCACUUGAGAAAAAUGCUGGGGAGAAUGUUGCAUGUGUGUAUGUCUGACUAUUAUGUCCAUUUAAUCUAUAGCAUUCACGUCUACUGUCUGUUGAUUUUCUGUCUGGAUAGUCUAUCCAUUGUUGAAAGUGGUUAUAAUGAAGGUUACUAUUACUGUAUUCCUAUUUCUCAUUCAGUUCUGCUCCUAUUUGCAGUAUAUAUUCAGCAGUUCUGAUGUUAGAUGCAUAGAUAUUUACAGCUGCUAUAUCCUGUCAAGGAACUGAUCCCUGUGUCAGUACCUAAGAACUUUCUUUUCCUCUUGCGACAGUGUUUGGCAAAAGGCUAUUUAAUCUGACAUAAGUAUAGCCACCUCUGCUUUCUUCAGGUUACAUUUGCAUGAAAUAUCUUUUUCAUCUCUUCACUUUAUACUACUUGUGUCUUUAAUGCUAAAGUGAGUCCCUUUGGGGCAGAGUAUAGUUGAGUGUUUUUAAAAAAUAUAUUGUACGUUGUAUUUUAAAAUGCACUUAAAAUACAUUAUAAAAUACCAGAAUUCAUUCUGUUUCUUUUGAUCAAAGGUUUUAAUAAAGUUAUAUUUAAAAUAAUUAUUGACAUGUAAGAAUUUACUACUGUAAUUUUGUUAACUAUGUUUUUACUAUUUUGUAGUGUCUUUGUUCCCCAGUUUCUGUAUUGUUCUUCAUUCUUUUGUGAUUUGAAUACUUUUUGUAGUUCUACAAUUUGAUUUCUUUAUCAUUGUUUGAAGUAUCUGCUACAAGGUUUUUUCUUUGUGCUUACAAUGAAGCUUACGUAAAGCAUCUUAAAACAGGCAAUUUUAAGCUGAUAAGUUUAAUUACAUACAGAAACUACACAUUAA